rnacentral:rRNA from 1 species
CGUGUAGGCGGUCCAGCAAGCGGUGUGUGAAAUCCCGGAGCUCAACUCCGGAACUGCCCACCGAACUGCUGGGCUAGAGGACAGGAGGGGGACGUGGAACUCUAGGUGUAGCGGUGAAAUGCGUAGAUAUCUAGAGGAACGCCGGUGGCGAAAGCGACGUCCUGGCCUGUAUCUGACGCUGAGGCGCGAAAGCGUGGGUAGCAAACA